AGUGAACGCUGGCGGCAGGCCUAACACAUGCAAGUCGAACGGCAGCACAGUGGAGCUUGCUCCAUGGGUGGCGAGUGGCGGACGGGUGAGGAAUACAUCGGAAUCUGCCCAGUCGUGGGGAUAACAUAGGGAAACUUAUGCUAAUACCGCAUACGACCUACGGGUGAAAGCGGGGGAUCGCAAGACCUCGCGCGAUUGGAUGAGCCGAUGUCCGAUUAGCUAGUUGGCGGGGUAAUGGCCCACCAAGGCGACGAUCGGUAGCUGGUCUGAGAGGAUGAUCAGCCACACUGGAACUGAGACACGGUCCAGACUCCUACGGGAGGCAGCAGUGGGGAAUAUUGGACAAUGGGCGCAAGCCUGAUCCAGCCAUGCCGCGUGGGUGAAGAA
rnacentral:rRNA from 1 species